UUUGUGGAGAGUUUGAUCCUGGCUCAGGAUGAACGCUGGCGGCGUGCUUAACACAUGCAAGUCGAACGGAAAGGCCUCUAGCUUGCUAGGGGUACUCGAGUGGCGAACGGGUGAGUAACACGUGGGUGAUCUGCCCUGCACUGUGGGAUAAGCCUGGGAAACUGGGUCUAAUACCAUAUAUGACCACCUUUUGGAUGGGGUGGUGGAAAGCUUUUGCGGUGUGGGAUGAGCCUGCGGCCUAUCAGCUUGUUGGUGGGGUAAUGGCCUACCAAGGCGGCGAC
rnacentral:rRNA from 1 species